rnacentral:rRNA from 1 species
AGAGUUUGAUCCUGGCUCAGGAUGAACGCUAGCGGCAGGCCUAACACAUGCAAGUCGAGGGGCAGCACGGUGUAGCAAUACACUGGUGGCGACCGGCGCACGGGUGAGUAACACGUGUGCAACCAACCCCGUACCGGGAGAUAACCCGCGGAAACGUGGACUAACAUCCCAUGACACUCUAGAGCCGCAUGGCUCUAGAUUUAAAAUUCCGGUGGUACGGGACGGGCACGCGCGACAUUAGGUAGUUGGCGGGGUAACGGCCCACCAAGCCGACGAUGUCUAGGGGUUCUGAGAGGAAGGUCCCCCACACUGGAACUGAGACACGGUCCAGACUCCUACGGGAGGCAGCAGUGAGGAAUAUUGGUCAAUGGGCGAGAGCCUGAACCAGCCAAGUCGCGUGAGGGAAGAAUGGUCUAUGGCCUGUAAACCUCUUUUGCCAGGGAAGAAUAAAUUGCACGCGUGCGAUCUUGCCAGUACCUGACGAAUAAGCAUCGGCUAACUCCGUGCCAGCAGCCGCGGUAAUACGGGGGAUGCGAGCGUUAUCCGGAUUUAUUGGGUUUAAAGGGCGCGUAGGCGGGACGCCAAGUCAGCGGUAAAAGACUGCAGCUAAACUGUAGCACGCCGUUGAAACUGGCGACCUCGAGACGAGACGAGGGAGGCGGAACAAGUGAAGUAGCGGUGAAAUGCUUAGAUAUCACUUGGAACCCCGAUAGCGAAGGCAGCUUCCCAGGCUCGAUCUGACGCUGAUGCGCGAGAGCGUGGGUAGCGAACAGGAUUAGAUACCCUGGUAGUCCACGCCGUAAACGAUGCUCACUGGAUCUUGGCGAUACACUGCCAGGGUUCAAGCGAAAGUAUUAAGUGAGCCACCUGGGGAGUACGUCGGCAACGAUGAAACUCAAAGGAAUUGACGGGGGCCCGCACAAGCGGAGGAACAUGUG